rnacentral:rRNA from 1 species
GACGAACGCUGGCGGCGUGCUUAACACAUGCAAGUCGAACGGAAAGGCCCUGCUUUUGUGGGGUGCUCGAGUGGCGAACGGGUGAGUAACAAGUGAGUAACCUCCCCUUGACUUUUGGGUAACUUCAGGACACUGGGGCUAAUACCGGAUAGGAGCUCCUGCUGCAUGGUGGGGGUUGGAACGUUUCGGCGGUUGGUGAUGGACUCGCGGCUUAUCAGCUUGUUGGUGGGGUAGUGGCUUACCCAGGCUUUGACGGGUAGCCGGCCUGAGAGGGUGACCGGCCACAUUGGGACUGAGAUACGGCCCAGACUCCUACGGGAGGCAGCAGUGGGGAAUAUUGCACAAUGGGCGGAAGCCUGAUGCAGCAACGCCGCGUGCGGGAUGACGGCCUUCGGGUUGUAAACCGCUUUCGCCUGUGACGAAGCGUGAGUGACGGUAAUGGGUAAAGAAGCACCGGCUAACUACGUG